ACGGAAGGCAGCAGUGGGGAAUAUUGCACAAUGGGCGAAAGCCUGAUGCAGCGACGCCGCGUGAGUGAAGAAGUAUCUCGGUAUGUAAAGCUCUAUCAGCAGGGAAGAAAAUGACGGUACCUGACUAAGAAGCCCCGGCUAACUACGUGCCAGCAGCCGCGGUAAUACGUAGGGGGCAAGCGUUAUCCGGAUUUACUGGGUGUAAAGGGAGCGUAGACGGUUUGGCAAGUCUGAAGUGAAAUGCGGGGGCUCAAAUCCUGAACUGCUUUGGAAACUGUCGAACUAGAGUGCAGGAGAGGUAAGUGGAAUUCCUAGUGUAGCGGUGAAAUGCGUAGAUAUUAGGAGGAACACCAGUGGCGAAGGCGGCUUACUGGACUGUAACUGACGUUGAGGCUCGAAAGCGUGGGGAGCAAACAGGAUUAGAUACCCUGGUA
rnacentral:rRNA from 1 species